GACGAACGCUGGCGGCGUGCUUAACACAUGCAAGUCGAACGGAAAGGCCCUGCUUUUGUGGGGUGCUCGAGUGGCGAACGGGUGAGUAACACGUGAGUAACCUGCCCUUGACUUUGGGAUAACUUCAGGAAACUGGGGCUAAUACCGGAUAUGAGCUCCUGCUGCAUGGUGGGGGUUGGAAAGUUUCGGCGGUUGGGGAUGGACUCGCGGCUUAUCAGCUUGUUGGUGGGGUAGUGGCUUACCAAGGCUUUGACGGGUAGCCGGCCUGAGAGGGUGACCGGCGACAUUGGGACUGAGAUAGGGCCCAGACUCCUACGGGAGGCAGCAGUGGGGAAUAUUGCACAAUGGGCGGAAGCCUGAUGCAGCAACGCCGCGUGCGGGAUGACGGCCUUCGGGUUGUAAACCGCUUUCGCCUGUGACGAAGCGUGAGUGACGGUAAUGGGUAAAGAAGCACCGGCUAACUACGUG
rnacentral:rRNA from 1 species